CCGGGACAGACAGACUCCAUCUAUAGCCUUGGAUAUUACAAAUAUCUUCAUAAAAACUGAAUAAAAUAAAAAAUAGAAAAAUAUAGUUAACUUUAUCUUAUUGUAUCAUAAAGCACUUCAUAUGGAUAAAGAAUGGGCAUUUCUCUGGGCUCCUAACCUCUCUGUAUUGAGUUUGUCCAACUGCUGUCUACUGCAAGAAGGUCCAGGUUGUUGAGGGAAAGCUGUAUUUUUUCACAGUUGCCUUGUAGAUGCCCAAUCACUGUACAUCAGAGAGCAGGCUCACAGUGGCAUUUGAAGAUGGAAUGAAUAGGUAAAUGAAUUAGGACAGUGACAUAAAAGAGAAAAUUGGGUUUAAUGGACUCCUCUUUGAUGAGGAUCCAAUCUGGUUUAUGUAACUCCCAUAUGAGAACCAUGGCCCAAGAAGUGGAUUUUAUGGGCAGAUUGGCUUUUAUAAGGAACAACUUCCUUUGCAUUAGGAUUACUGCCUGAGAAAGAGGUGAGCUCAGUCAUGUUCACUGUAGUUCCUGUUCAAGUGGAAGCCAGGUAUUUAUCUGCAGAAACAAAGGAAAGAAUUGCUGCUGAAGAGCUGGAUGGCCUCUUUGGAUCUCUUCCAACUCUGAGGUCCUCCAACAAUGGUCAUGAACAUGACUUUUUAUAUGGGUAGACAGGGAAGUCUUUGGAAAGAAAUGAAUCCUCGUGGUUGCAUUUGAUUUGCAGGGAAACCAGACGAAGCCCAGAGGAGAGCACCCACUGCCUUCAGCCUCACAACCCUUUCACUUUCAGGGAUAAGAACCCACCCUUCCAUCUCCCAGCCACAUCUGCAGAUGCCUUAGAGCCCAACACUUCCUUCAGGGUGUCUGCAAAUAGAAUAGAGAGGUCUUUGAUAUGACGGUGGGACUCAAGGACAGGGGCUUCUUUAUUUUGUAGGCAGGGUGCUUAGUCAAGUGGAAAGGAAGAAUGAUCAGGAAAGUCAGUGUAAAGUAAGAACUUAGAAGGAGAAACUAGAGGAAGUGAAGUAAGAGGCUGAAUAAGGAGAAGAUCUCCAGGAGGUUGUCUUCCUGAACCCUGGAAAACGAAGUUAAUUGUGCAAUGCAAAGGGGCAAGCAAUGUUGAUGAUGAGACAACUGAAUGGACAGAAGAAAAAGGCAAAGGAAGUGGAAAGAAGAGCCAAAGUCAGGUGCAAAAGAGAAAUUGCGGGUAGACCAGGUUUGCUUUUCCACCUACAGUGAACCCUUGGAUUAUGACCAGCCUGACAUACAACAUGGGUUAUGACUGGAAUUUUAGUUUUAACUUAUGACCAAAGUCUUGAGUUACGACCCAAAUGUUGGCUGCUUGUGCUUCCAGUUGGUCUCAGAUACAGAUUUUACCCUUAAAGAGUUCUGAAAGGAACAUUACAACAUCCUUCCCUGUAUGGGGUUAAUUGAGAAAUCCUGGGCCAAUUUCUCUUUAAGGACACUGAGAUUUUCCUGUAUACAGGAGAGAGACUUUGAAGGCUGUGUAGAGGAGCCUGAGCUUUUAAUUGACCAACCUGAGUGACAACCAGCUCUCUUGAAUGAAUCGAGUUUGGAAGUCAAAGGUCCACUGUAUUUGUAUCCGAUAUGAGCACUGGGAUGAUAGGUUUAUUAUAUGGGAAUAGAUUUCAGAAACAAAGGAAGAUUCUACCUCAAGUACAGCUUUGUGGGAAAAGGACUCAAAUCAACUUUUGCAUCAUUUCUACAGCCAGAACCAGCUGCAUUUGGAACUAACUGCCUCUCAUUUGUUUACAAGAUGUUGAGAUUAUCCUGGAUUAUUUGAGUGGGCCCUAAGUGCAACCUAUGUAUCCUCAUAAGAAGGAGAUCUGACACAGAAGAAGAGGAGAAGGCAACAGGACCAAAGAGGCAGAGGCAGAGAUUUGAAGGAUGUGACCAUAAGGCUAAGAGUGUUGGCUGCUACCAAAGCUGCGCGAGCAACAAUGACAGAAUCUAUACUAGUUCAGGAAAGCAAGGCACUUGCCUCUGAGGACAAAAAGGAAGGGGCAUCAAAAAGCCUCAUUAACCAAGGUGCAAUAUGGCUUAGCACUGCCCAGCACUAUAUUUUGUGCUUGGCACUGUGCAGUGGAAGCAAGACAAACAUGUCUCCCAUUAGUGGAGCUUCCGGUCUAGCAGACAAGAGAAACUGAGUAAAACAUCAAAAGGUGACCAUGGCACCAAGUACAAGGAGGCCUGACUUUUCUAUGACCUUGCCUUCUCAGCAGUACCACUGUGUCCAAACCAUUAUCAACACCAUGGGGCAAAAUCUGCUCUGUGUGAGGGUGAGCAUAGGAGUGGGAGAGCGGCAUAAAAAGCACAAAACAAUGCCAAGAUUUUUGUUGUUGUUGUUGUUGUUUGUGUACUGGGAAUUGAACUCAGGGCCUAGCAUAUACUAGGCAAGCAUGCUGCUACUGUGCCCUUUUUAUUAUUUUUUAAAUUUG
rnacentral:lncRNA from 1 species